rnacentral:rRNA from 1 species
GAUGAACGCUGGCGGCGUGCCUAAUACAUGCAAGUCGAGCGAACAGACGAGGAGCUUGCUCCUCUGACGUUAGCGGCGGACGGGUGAGUAACACGUGGAUAACCUACCUAUAAGACUGGGAUAACUUCGGGAAACCGGAGCUAAUACCGGAUAAUAUAUUGAACCGCAUGGUUCAAUAGUGAAAGACGGUUUUGCUGUCACUUAUAGAUGGAUCCGCGCCGCAUUAGCUAGUUGGUAAGGUAACGGCUUACCAAGGCGACGAUGCGUAGCCGACCUGAGAGGGUGAUCGGCCACACUGGAACUGAGACACGGUCCAGACUCCUACGGGAGGCAGCAGUAGGGAAUCUUCCGCAAUGGGCGAAAGCUUGACGGAGCAACGCCGCGUGAGUGAUGAAGGUCCUCGGAUCGUAAAACUCUGUUAUUAGGGAAGAACAAAUGUGUAAGUAACUAUGCACGUCUUGACGGUACCUAAUCAGAAAGCCACGGCUAACUACGUG